UACGGAGGGUGCAAGCGUUGUUCGGAUUUAUUGGGCGUAAAGGGCGUGUAGGCGGUCCGUUAAGUCUGAUGUGAAAGCCCCGGGCUCAACCUGGGAAGUGCAUUGGAAACUGGCGGACUUGAGUACGGGAGAGGGCAGUGGAAUUCCUAGUGUAGGAGUGAAAUCCGUAGAUAUUAGGAGGAACACCGGUGGCGAAGGCGGGUCUCUGGGCCGAUACUGACGCUGAGGAGCGAAAGCGUGGGGAGCGAAUGGG
rnacentral:rRNA from 1 species